CCUGACCGAGCAACGCCGCGUGAAUGAUGACGGCCUUCGGGUUGUAAAAUUCUGUGGCGAGGAACGAAUGGCAAGGAGAGGAAAUGCUCUUUGUUUGACGGUACCUCGCUAGAAAGCCACGGCUAACUACGUGCCAGCAGCCGCGGUAAUACGUAGGUGGCAAGCGUUAUCCGGAAUUAUUGGGCGUAAAGAGUGAGCAGGCGGUUUUUUAAGUCUGAAGUCAAAUCCUGUGGCUCAACCACAGUUCGCUUUGGAAACUGAAGAACUAGAGUGCGGGAGAGGUAAGCGGAAUUCCAUAUGUAGCGGUGAAAUGCACAGAUAUAUGGAGGAACACCGGUGGCGAAGGCGGCUUACCAGCCCGAUACUGACGCUCAGUCACGAAAGCGUGGGGAGCAAAUAGGCUUAGAUACCCUAGUAGUCCACGCCGUAAACGUUGAGGACCUGAUGCCGGAGUAUUUCGGUGUCGUAGCUAACGCGUUAAGUCCUCCGCCUGGGUACUACGUUCGCAAGAAUAAAACUUAAAGGAAUUGACGGGGGCCCGCACAAGCAGUGGAGCAUGUGGUUUAAUUCGUCGCUACGCGAAAAACCUUACCAGGGUUUGACAUCCCGCUAAAAGUCUUGGAAACAAGAUCAUAGUUAUAGCGGUGAAAGGUGGUGCAUGGUUGUCGUCAGCUCGUGUCGUGAGAUGUUGGGUUAAGUCCCCUAACGAGCGCAACCCUUGUCUCUAUUUGCCAUCAUUAAGUUGGGAACUAUAGAGAGACUGCCGGUGCAAACCGGAGGAAGAUGGGGAUGACGUCAAAUCAUCA
rnacentral:rRNA from 1 species